rnacentral:rRNA from 1 species
CGAACGGUAACAUGGAAGCAAUUCUGAUGACGAGUGGCGCACGGGUGCGUAACGCGUAUGCAAUCUACCCAUAACUGGAGGAUAGCCCCGGGAAAUCGGGAUUAAUACUUCAUAAGAUAUUAAUGUGACAUCACAUAGAUGCGUAAGAUUUAUCGGUUAUGGAUGAGCAUGCGUAACAUUAGUUAGUUGGUGAGGUAACGGCUCACCAAGACUGUGAUGUUUAGGGGUUCUGAGAGGAACAUCCCCCACACUGGUACUGAGACACGGACCAGACUCCUACGGGAGGCAGCAGUAAGGAAUAUUGGUCAAUGGGCGGAAGCCUGAACCAGCCAUGCCUGCAGGAAGACGGCCCUAUGGGUUGUAAACUGCUUUUAUACUAGAAAAACCCCUUCUAUGCGUAGGAGGCUGAUUGUAUAGUAUGAAUAAGGAUCGGCUAACUCCGUGCCAGCAGCCGCGGUAAUACGGAGGAUCCAAGCGUUAUCCGGAUUUAUUGGGUUUAAAGGGUGCGUAGGCGGGUGUAUAAGUCAGUGGUGAAAUUUUUCGGCUCAACCGGAGGACUGCCAUUGGUACUGUAUGCCUUGAGUACAGACGAGGUUGGCGGAAUGUGUAGUGUAGCGGUGAAAUGCUUAGAUAUUACACAGAACACCGAUAGCGAAGGCAGCUGACCAGAAUGUAACUGACGCUGAGGCACGAAAGCGUGGGGAUCAAACAGGAUUAGAUACCCUGGUAGUCCACGCCGUAAACGAUGAUUACUAGAUGUAUGCGAUACACAGUAUGCGUCUGAGCGAAAGCAUUAAGUAAUCCACCUGGGGAGUACGACCGCAAGGUUGAAACUCAAAGGAAUUGACGGGGGCCCGCACAAGCGGAGGAGCAUGUGGUUUAAUUCGAUGAUACGCGAGGAACCUUACCUGGACUUGAAUGUCUUUUGACCGUGGGGGAAACCCUGCUUCCAGCGAUGGCAAUUGACAAGGUGCUGCAUGGUUGUCGUCAGCUCGUGCCGUGAGGUGUUGGGUUAAGUCCCGUAACGAGCGCAACCCCUAUCAUUAGUUACCAGCGUAAAGUCGGGGACUCUAGUGAAACUGCCCGCGCAAGCGGAGAGGAAGGUGGGGAUGACGUCAAAUCAGCACGGCCCUUACGUCCAGGGCUACACACGUGCUACAAUGGCCAGAACAGAGGGUCGCAACCUGGUGACAGGAUGCUAAUCUCCAAAACUGGUCUCAGUUCGGAUUGAAGUCUGCAACUCGACUUCAUGAAGUUGGAUUCGCUAGUAAUCGCAUAUCAGCAAUGAUGCGGUGAAUACGUUCCCGGGCCUUGUACACACCGCCCGUCAAGCCAUGGGAGUUGGGGGUACCUAAAGUCGAUAACCGCAAGGAGUCGCCUAGGGUAAAACCAAUGACUGGGGCUAAGUCGUAACAAGGUA